rnacentral:rRNA from 1 species
UACAUGUGGGGCAAGCGUUGUUCGGAAUUACUGGGCAUAAAGGGUGCGUAGGCGGCUUGUUAGGUCACUGGUGAAAGUUUUCGGCCCAACCGGAAAAUUGCCUGUGAUACCGGCGAGCUUGAGUGCGUGAGGGGUGGGGGGAACGAGCAGUGUAGCGGUGAAAUGCGUAGAUAUUGCUCGGAAGCCGGAGCCGAAGGGGCCCCAC